rnacentral:lncRNA from 1 species
AGGCUUCCAAGCUCUCUCAUCCUCUUGAUGAAAGGAAAGCUUCUGCAGCUGUACCGCUACCACCCAGAAAUGGAAUAAAUUGUGUUUCAAAAAGUAAGAAGCGUGUCGGUGUCAGAGAUACAGUUGAGAAGAAGAGACUAACUGCAGGGUCACUCCACAUGUCAAUCGAUCUCCCCUCUGGCACUCAUGAAUCAAGCAAAACAGCUUCUGCAGCUUUACAAUCCAGAAAUGGCUUAAACAGGUUUUCAACCACUCCUUUCAUCUGGCACUGGUGUAUCAAGCAAAACAGCCAGCUGUUAAAUCUGGAAACGGAAUAAACCUUGCUUCAAAAAGUAUGAAAUCCGACUCAGUGGAGAAGAAAUCAACUGCAAGGUCACUUCACAUGUCAAUCAAUCUCUCUUCUGGAGCAGACAAAACAAGUAAAACAGCUUCAGUAUUUGAACAUAAGGCUUCCAAGCUCUCUCAUCCUCUUGAUGAAAGGAAAGCUUCUGCAGCUGUACCGCUACCACCCAGAAAUGGAAUAAAUUGUGUUUCAAAAAGUAAGAAGCGUGUCGGUGUCAGAGAUACAGUUGAGAAGAAGAGACUAACUGCAGGGUCACUCCACAUGUCAAUCGAUCUCCCCUCUGGCACUCAUGAAUCAAGCAAAACAGCUUCUGCAGCUUUACAAUCCAGAAAUGGCUUAAACCGUUUUUCAACAAGUAAGAAAUCUGUUGGAGGCUCACUUGAGAAGAAGAGGAUAAUUACACCAUCACUUUCCAAGUCAAUCAAUCUUUCAUCUGGCACUGGUGUAUCAAGCAAAACAGCCAGCUGUUAAAUCUGGAAACGGAAUAAACCUUGCUUCAAAAAGUAUGAAAUCCGACUCAGUGGAGAAGAAAUCAACUGC